rnacentral:rRNA from 1 species
GAUGAACGCUAGCGGCAGGCUUAACACAUGCAAGUCGAGGGGCAGCAUGAAGGUUAGCAAUAACUUUUGUAUGGCGACCGGCGCAAGGGUGCGUAACGCGUGAGCAACUUGCCGUUCUGGGAAUAACCGUGGAAACGCCGACUAAUACCCCAUGGCAUUGAUUUCAGGCAUCUGUUAUCAAUUAAAGAAUUUCGGAAACGGAUAGGCUCGCGUGACAUUAGCUAGAUGGCGGGGUAACGGCCCACCAUGGCGACGAUGUCUAGGGGUUCUGAGAGGUUAAUCCCCCACACUGGUACUGAGACACGGACCAGACUCCUACGGGAGGCAGCAGUGAGGAAUAUUUGGACAAAUGGAUGGAAAUCUGAUCCAGCCAUGCCGCGUGCAGGAUGACGGCCCUAUGGGUCUUAAACUUCUUUUGUAAGGGAGCAAUAAGUCUCACGUGUGGGAUGAUGAGAGUACCUUACGAAUAAGCAUCGGCUAACUCCGU